AUACACUCUCAGGGGGCUCAGCUGUCUUGACUUCGAGCAUACGCUGCUAGGAUCUCAGUUUAUGUGCAGAGAUGGAGACCACAGAUGGCGCGCAGAGCAACCCCUUCAACCUGGCACACCAAGGGCCCGUCACCGCUGUGAUCUCUGGCGAAGCAGGGACUUCGAAAUGUCUCUGAUUUCCAUUUCAGGAUUGGGCAGGUUUAUUGAGCAUUCAGGCUGUUUUUUUGGUCAAGUCUGCACUAAAAAAAACCUGUGGACUUAUGAGCAGAACUGGAAGGACACCAUUAAAUCAUCAACUUGUUAAAACCAGUAACAGGAUGUGGGCCCACAAUUAAAACCUACACA